rnacentral:rRNA from 1 species
CACGUAGGUGGCAAGCGUUGUCCGGAUUUACUGGGCGUAAAGGGCGUGCAGGCGGUCUGUUAAGUGCAGGGUGAAAGCUCCCGGCUCAACUGGGAGAGGUCCUUGCAUACUGGCGGACUUGAGGGGGGUAGAGGAAAGUGGAAUUCCCGGUGUAGUGGUGAUAUGCGUAGAUAUCGGGAGGAACACCUGUGGCGAAGGCGGCUUUCUGGGCCCUACCUGACGCUGAGACGCGAAAGCGUGGGGAGCGAACCGG